rnacentral:rRNA from 1 species
UCGAGAAUUUUUGACAAUGGGGGAAACCCUGAUCGAGCGACGCCGCGUGGAGGAUGAAGGUCUUCGGGUUGUAAACUCCUGUCAUUUGGGAACAAGGUUUUUCGGUUAACUGCCGAGAAGUUGAUAGUACCAGAAGAGGAAGAGACGGCUAACUCUGUGCCAGCAGCCGCGGUAAUACAGAGGUCUCAAGCGUUGUUCGGAUUCAUUGGGCGUAAAGGGUGCGUAGGUGGCGCGCUAAGUCGGGUGUGAAAUUUCGGAGCUUAACUCCGAAACUGCAUUCGAUACUGGCGUGCUUGAGGACUGGAGAGGAGACUGGAAUUCAUGGUGUAGCAGUGAAAUGCGUAGAGAUCAUGAGGAAGACCAGUGGCGAAGGCGGGUCUCUGGACAGUUCCUGACACUGAGGCACGAAGGCCAGGGGAGCAAACGGGAUUAGAUACCCCGGUAGUCC